UACGUAGGCAGCAAGCGUUGUUCGGAGUUACUGGGCGUAAAGAGUGCGUAGGUGGUGCCCUAAGUCUGUUGUGAAAUCUCCCGGCUUAACUGGGAGGGUGCGGUGGAAACUGGGGUGCUUGAGUGUGGGAGAGGUAAGCGGAAUUCCUGGUGUAGCGGUGGAAUGCGCAGAUAUCAGGAGGAACACCGGUGGCGAAGGCGGCAUCCUGGACCAAGACUGACACUGAAAAGCGAAAGCCAGGGGAGCAAACGGG
rnacentral:rRNA from 1 species